CAGGUGAUUUUCAAAGCCAUGACACCCUUCAGCCAACACGCCAAGCAGACGCCAUGUUGGAUUGAGCAGACGAUAGAGGCUUCGUUUAACACCGAGUUGUAAUCCAAGGAAGACGUGUAUUCGGAGAGUGAACUAGGGUAAUUCUACUCCAUCGAAUGUUGCCACAUCAAGCAUGAGAUUUGUGAAUGUGACCCUCUUCUACUUGUGAAAGUUCGGCUGACACUUCCCGUGAGCAGAACAAAGAAACGCAGGCUCACGGGACCAGCCAAUGAGAACGCAGCAUUCCCCGUCCUCACAGCACGAUUGGACAAAAGGGUCAGAGGUCGCGAGAAGAAUGCGCUUCAACACAGUUUAAGUCUAUUGCAGUUUAUUGCAACUACACUUGACUUAAGUAUGCAUGAUGAUACAGAUUGCUCUUUUCCAUCAUACAACAACGGCGGUACAUUCCAACAUUCCUAAAGACCGCAGCUACCGACGGAACCCCACACACGUUGUCAACGUUGGCCGACGACUUCGUCAAACUCGUCAACUACAAGGACACCUUUAAAUCUGCGGACAUCGUUUGGUAAGGUCAGCCAAGUCGAAACUCACGAACUGCGGUGGACAGACACAGGAAAUCGUUAUAAAUUCCUCUCUGUAUGAUAGCUAAAGUCGGAUGGAACCAACCAGAUCACAGUUUUAAGCGAUAAUAGUGUUAUUUUGAGAUAUUGACUUCUUCAUAUCCUGUGAUGAGCGAGUGACUGAGUGUAGUUUUACACCGCUUUAACAAUAUAUUCUGAAUAUCAGAAUUUGGCUUCAUACAAUGUACUGAUAUGGGGAACCGAACUCAGGUCUUCGACGUGCCGAGCGAACGUUUCAACCACCAGGCUACCCCACCGCUCCUCCGGUGAUGAGACAGCUGUACCAUGAAGAGUG